AACGCGAAGAACCUUACCAGUCCUUGACAUGUCCACUAUGGGCCUGAGAGAUCAGGUCCUUCACUUCGGGUGGGUGGAACACAGGUGCUGCAUGGCUGUCGUCAGCUCGUGUCGUGAGAUGUUGGGUUAAGUCCCGCAACGAGCGCAACCCUCAUCUUCAGUUGCCCCCGGGUCAGGCCGGGCACUCUGAAGAAACCGCCGGUGACAAGCCGGAGGAAGGCGGGGAUGACGUCAAGUCCUCAUGGCCCUUACGGACUGGGCUACACACGUACUACAAUGGUGGUGACAGUGGGCAGCGAAAGCGCGAGCUGGAGCUAAUCCCCAAAAGCCAUCUCAGUUCAGAUUGCACUCUGCAACUCGAGUGCAUGAAGUUGGAAUCGCUAGUAAUCGCAGAUCAGCACGCUGCGGUGAAUACGUUCCCGGGCCUUGUACACACCGACUGUAC
rnacentral:rRNA from 1 species